AGGCAUGGGGAAUAAAGACGGGCAGCUGGGAAGAGCCCGAGUGGGAGAAGGGCCUCAUCUGCACCUCUGGUCUCUCCCCUGCAUUCACCUACUGCCACAUCCAGAAGGAUGAUAGAGUGAAAAGAAUUGCGCUCCAUUUUAAAUCUAAAGGGACUAUAUAUACAUUCCGUGGAAGGGUAUUUUUGAAAGGGCAUAACCUUUCUGAGUGUGUGCUACUCCAGAGACGUCAGCACAGGAAAGAGCUGGGUCACACCUGGCACUGCCACUGACUGCUUCGCUGCACGCACACUGCAAGUAUCUGACAGCUAUAGGAUUAGUUCUGCAGAACACAGCAAGCUGGCUGGAGGAUGCUUUUGGCUUGUUCACUCAUUGCUUGCUCUGUUUGCAAUGCAUUUUCUCUUUUAAGAUACACCCGAACAGUAGGAAAUCAAGUUUCUUCAGCACAAAACAAAUGAGAAAUUAGUUUCUGGCCCGAUCACAAAUGGGCACAUUAAAAAACGCGCAUUUUGUACAGUCAUUUCUGAGAACCUGAAAUCCUAAGGCUUGACUCUCCUAGCUGAAAGCAGCAUGAAGAAAGCAUUAUUCAUAAUGUUAAGAAAUUACUCGAAAGGAGGAAUUUGGAUGGAGGGAAUAGAAAAUACCUCAAAAUGGCACAUUCUAGACUUGCCCAUUAGAUGAAAUCAAAACUAACUAUUUUAAAUCCCAUUGGGUAAAUUAGCAUGACAGUAACAUCUGAUUUCCAAGAUACACAUCAGAGUGCACUUGUUCACAAUUAAAAAGUAAACAAUACAUAUCUAAGAGUCUUCUGUUUUUUUAAGCUUCAAACAAAGAUGCUAGUAGGAGUUUCAGGGAAACCUGGCUUUUCUCACUCUGCAGCAAUGAACCCAUUCGAGCAGUGCAACCAUUUGACCCUCAGACAACGUUUUUAAAUAGCAUGUGAGGACGGUCCCCAGGCUCCACCAUCAGAACUGAAGUUUCUGCUGCAUCAGCAGUGUGAACAGAGCUACUGGGCAAAACAUGAAAAUGCAAAGCUGAUGAUGUAGCCAGAACAAGUGGAUCACAAACAGCCUCUGCUGUGCGCCAGGCCCCCACCCCUCCAAAAUAGGAGAACGGCACUGUAUGACCUCACAGGAGAGAAACUUUUCCAAUAAGGUGCAGUCGUAUCCUCCAUGUCGAUCAGAGGAUCACCGUUGACUGUAGACAAGUUGGAAUGAAUGAAGAUGAUGACUGGGAGGAAACAGCAUCUUGAAAUACUCUUUGUGAGAGAUCCAAGUGAUCCCAUGGCUGCACCACAGCUUCAACAACUUGCUGUAUCACAUCUCUGAUCAGACUCGAUAGAUCCUUUGUACA